rnacentral:lncRNA from 1 species
GCGAGUAAGUUGGUUCUUUAUUCUAUGUGCGAGUUCUCGAAUGGAGAACUUUGGAUCGUGUUUGCAAGAACGGCAGCAACAACAGCGCUUUAUUUCAAGCACCUAUCUGCACUUGGAGGUUGCACUUGAAACUGUGCUAAUGGUAGUCCCGUGCCCUUUCUCACUUCAGGAGAAUUUGAAGGCGAGUCAUUGAAUGUGAGCUUGAAGAAUAGCUGAAACCAUUGAGCCCACCAAUCUCUGUGUAAACAGCUGCAUCUUUCCCUGACAUGGCACCAAGAAGGAAGUUCCAUACCCGUGAUCUCAUCGUCCAACUUUCUGCUUGGGAGUCCCAGUUGCGAAUAGAAGAAUGCAACCAAGUAUUCCAGGGUGAAAAUCAAGCGU